rnacentral:tRNA from 1 species
GGUCGCGUGCCGAGCGGACCGACGGCGGCUGGCUCCUGACCGGCCAGAAGACCUGGUCGUCGCGGGCCGCGUUCGCC